rnacentral:rRNA from 1 species
UGGGGGAUAUUGCACAAUGGGCGAAAGCCUGAUGCAGCGACGCCGCGUGGGGGAUGAAGGCCUUCGGCUUGUAAACUUCUUUUGCUCUGAACAAGGCAUGCCUUUGGGGUGUGUUGAGUGUAGGGGUUGAUUAGCGCCGGCUAACUACGUGCCAGCAGCCGCGGUAAUACGUAGGGCGCGAGCGUUGUCCGGAAUUAUUGGGCGUAAAGGGCUUGUAGGUGGCUGGUUGCGUCUGUCGUGAAAGCUCAUGGCUUAACUGUGGGUUUGCGGUGGGUACGGGCUGGCUUGAGUGCAGUAGGGGAGGCUGGAAUUCCUGGUGUAGCGGUGGAAUGCGCAGAUAUCAGGAGGAAUACCGGUGGCGAAGGCGGGUCUCUGGGCUGUUACUGACGCUGAGGAGCGAAAGCGUGGGGAGCGAACAGG